rnacentral:rRNA from 1 species
UGCAUAUUCAAUAGCGGAGGAAAAGAAACCAACUGGGAUUACCUUAGUAACGGCGAGUGAAGCGGUAAAAGCUCAAAUUUGAAAUCUGGUACUUUCAGUGCCCGAGUUGUAAUUUGUAGAAUUUGUCUUUGAUUAGGUCCUUGUCUAUGUUCCUUGGAACAGGACGUCAUAGAGGGUGAGAAUCCCGUUUGGCGAGGAUACCUUUUCUCUGUAAGACUUUUUCGAAGAGUCGAGUUGUUUGGGAAUGCAGCUCAAAGUGGGUGGUAAAUUCCAUCUAAAGCUAAAUAUUGGCGAGAGACCGAUAGCGAACAAGUACAGUGAUGGAAAGAUGAAAAGAACUUUGAAAAGAGAGUGAAAAAGUACGUGAAAUUGUUGAAAGGGAAGGGCAUUUGAUCAGACAUGGUGUUUUUUGCAUGCACUCGCCUCUCGUGGGCUUGGGCCUCUCAAAAAUUUCACUGGGCCAACAUCAAUUCUGGCAGCAGGAUAAAUCAUUAAGAAUGUAGCUACUUCGGUAGUGUUAUAGCUUUUUGGAAUACUGUUAGCCGGGAUUGAGGACUGCGCUUCGGCAAGGAUGUUGGCAUAAUGGUUAAAUGCCGCCCGUCUUA